UACGUAGGGGGCUAGCGUUGUCCGGAAUCAUUGGGCGUAAAGAGCGCGUAGGCGGCCAGAUAAGUCCGGUGUGAAAGUCAAAGGCUCAACCUUUGAAUGCCGCUGGAAACUGUCUGGCUAGAGUCCGGGAGGGGCGAGUGGAAUUCCUGGUGUAGCGGUGAAAAUGCGCAGAUAUCAGGAGGAACACCAAUGGCGAAGGCAGCUCGCUGGAACGGUACUGACGCUGAGGCGCGAAAGCGUGGGGAGCAAACAGG
rnacentral:rRNA from 1 species